rnacentral:tRNA from 1 species
AGCAGCAUGGUGUAAUAGUUUGAGCAUUGGACUAUGACUCUAGAGAACAGGGUUCAAAUCCCUGCUUAGCUG